UACGUAGGUGGCAAGCGUUGUCCGGAUUUAUUGGGUUUAAAGGGUGCGUAGGCGGUUUUGUAAGUCAGUGGUGAAAUCUCGGAGCUUAACUCCGCAACUGCCAUUGAUACUGCUUAGCUUGAAUCAAGUAGAGGUGGAUGGAAUAUUACAUGUAGCGGUGAAAUGCUUAGAUAUGUAAUAGAACACCGAUUGCGAAGGCAGUUCACUAUGCUUGUAUUGACACUGAGGCACGAAAGCGUGGGGAUCAAACAGG
rnacentral:rRNA from 1 species